rnacentral:lncRNA from 1 species
AUAUACUGAAUGUAGCUUCUCUUUUGCAGCUCUCUGUGCUUGUUGAGGUACUUCCACUUUCUAGAGUACCUGAUAAGACAGCCAUAGACUCUUUUGCAGCUGUCUGUGCUUGUUGAGGUACUUCCACUUUUUAGAGUACCUGAUAAGAUAGCCAUAGUUGGUGUGUCGGUUCUUCCACGAACACUGGUUAGUACAAAGCCUCGGCUCUGCAUCAAGGCAUUAGUCUCAGAUACAAAAGAGAUGAAAGGGAAGAAAAGAUAACAAUAUCUCUAUGAACAGGAGUGUUCCUUAGUCCCAAAUACUUAAGAGAUGAAUAGGAAGAAAAGAUAAAAUCUUUCCAUGAACAGGAUGCACAUCUUCAAUUUUAUGCUACUAUUGAGGGGAUGGCCCGAUUCGAGCUGCUAGUUGAUUCUGCACUAUUAUGAACCAGUAAAUGAUGCAUUUGGCCUUUCUCAGAUCUAAGUAUUUAAUGUGUUGUAAUGACAAUGUAGUAAUUUAUGCUGAGCAGAUAUUUAAUUGCAGUAACUAGGAAAACAAGUUGUGUUCCAUAUAUUCAAAUAGAACUUGGAAUUAAAACCAAUGAAUUAGACUCAUUUUGGCUAAUAUUAAAUGGCCGGACGGCCGGUGAAAAAAGGAGAGGAAAUUUUCAUAAAACACUAUCUUUUAGUGGUAAUUAGCCAUAUAUAGAUAUCGUUUGCUAUAUUACGGAUUAUAGAUAUUCUAUC